CCAAUAGCGUAUAUUAAAGUUGUUGCAGUUAAAAAGCUCGUAGUUGAAUUUCGGGAUCAGUACGCCGGUCGUGCCUUCGGUAUGCACUGGUGUCACUGGUUUCUCCCUUCUGAAGAACCAUCAUGCCAUUAAGUUGGUGUGGCGGGGAAUCAGGACUGUUACUUUGAAAAAAUUAGAGUGUUUAAAGCAGGCUCGCGCUUGAAUACAUUAGCAUGGAAUAAUGAAAUAGGACGUUUGACCCUAUUUUGUUGGUUUCUAGGAUCGACGUAAUGAUUAAUAGGGAUAGUUGGGGGCAUUAGUAUUCAAUUGUCAGAGGUGAAAUUCUUGGAUUUAUUGAAGACUAACUACUGCGAAAGCAUUUGCCAAGGAUGUUUUCAUUAAUCAAGAACGAAAGUUAGGGGAUCGAAGACGAUCAGAUACCGUCGUAGUCUUAACCAUAAACUAUGCCGACUAGGGAUCGGAUGAUGUUAAUUUUUUAAUGACUCAUUCGGCGCCUUACG
rnacentral:rRNA from 1 species